GACGAACCGUGCGAACGUUAUUCGGAAUCACUGGGCUUAAAGCGCGUGUAGGCGGCCCGGCACGUCCGUCGCUGAAAUCCCCCGGCUCAACCGGGGAAGUGGCGUGGAUACGGCCGGGCUGGAGGGGGGUAGGGGGAGCCGGAACUUCCGGUGGAGCGGUGAAAUGCGUUGAGAUCGGAAGGAACGCCCGUGGCGAAAGCGGGCUCCUGGACCCCACCUGACGCUGAGGCGCGAAAGCGUGGGGAGCAAACAGG
rnacentral:rRNA from 1 species